rnacentral:rRNA from 1 species
UACGUAGGGUGCAAGCGUUAAUCGGAAUUACUGGGCGUAAAGCGUGCGCAGGCGGUUUUGUAAGUCUGACGUGAAAUCCCCGGGCUCAACCUGGGAAUUGCGUUGGAGACUGCAAGGCUAGAAUCUGGCAGAGGGGGGUAGAAUUCCACGUGUAGCAGUGAAAUACGUAGAGAUGUGGAGGAACACCGAUGGCGAAGGCAGCCCCCUGGGUCAAGAUUGACGCUCAUGCACGAAAGCGUGGGGAGCAAACAGG